GUUCAAACUAUUUGUGCUCUUAGAAAAUAAAAAAAAAGAAUAUUUCCGUAGCCCUAUUUUUUAUGGAGGAGGUUCGAAAUGUGCCACGGAGGCAUUUAAGAGAUGCUUCGAAUUUAUUUGAAGUACCUAACAACCAGUUUGUGGCCAACUUUCGUGUGUCGAAGGAAGUUUUCGGGCUCUUUUGGAUAUGAUGGAAGAGAAGUGGGUGCCCGGUUGCAGAACUACCCAAAUCCGCCCCGAUUUAAAACUUCUUCUGCUGCUUCCAAAAAAUGGCAUUCCUCUGGCGAACACAGGAUUCUCCUCCAUUUACUCAACUAGUGCCCGCAGCUGUGUAGUUGAUGAUUUUUUCGUGCUGGAAUUGAGAAAAUAAAAAAAUAUAUAUUUGUUGUUCACAUAUUAAAUUGCAUUUAUUAUUUUUACUUA